ACACUCUAAGGGGGCGCUGGUGGUUCAGUGGUUAGUGUGCGUGCCCCAAGUACAGAGACUUUGGUCCUCCAAGCAGACAGCCCGGGUUCAAAUCCAGCCUAUGGCUCCUGUCCCGCAUGUCAUUCCCCUCUCUCUCUCUCUCUCUCUCUCUCUCUCUCUCUCUCUCUCUCUCUCUCUCUCUCUCCAUUAACAAAAAGCCCAAAAAUAAAUCUAAUCAUAAUAACUCUCAGAGAUCAAAUACACAUUUAUAGUUUCUACAUUCACACUCUGCUGUGGCGCUGACAUACAAACGAAAUAAUUCGACCUUUUUUGGUUCUGGAAAAGUUGGCAACCCUACUCAUAGUUGACGGUGCAGUGCAUUGUGGGUAAUUUCAGUGUGAAUCAGUUGAACUGUGAUUGUGUUUAAAGGCGGAGACGAUGCUGACUUGUUCUUUUCACUGGUGUUGAAUGUCGGCCGUCAUCAGAGACAAAAUGAACCGAGAGGUUUUCCUCUGAUUGUAAAGAUGGACGUUAUUAAAACAGAACCAACAAUCGAAUGUUUUCAUGCAGAAUCCUCCAGAAGACGCUAAAAGGAAACAGCGAUGAAAAGGGAAAAACAGACGAGUGGAGGUUGCUGCUCGGACAGUAAAGUCAUCUUCAGAGCGACACUGUUCACUUGUAAAAGUUUAUUUACAAAUUCUGGGGUUUACCACUCAAGUCUGCAGGGGCCCAGCAGAGGGCGCACAUGCUGCACAGAAUAGACCAGCCCUGGUUAAAAACCAACAAUAGUUGUGUUUUAUUCCUAAAAGUUUAAAAAGAUUAAAUAAAAUAUAAAGAGACUUUUGACCCUUUGAUGUAAACGUUGAGAAUACGAGCACUUUAAACUAAAACACUUUAAACUAAAACACUUUAAACGAUAAUUCAUACAAUGAAUUAAAAAUGUUGCCAAAUGAAAAUAAUUCUUUUUUUUCUUUAAUUUUUGAUGUGAACGUUUGCACUGCGAGAAGCUUCUGUCAUUUGAUUUGUUUCUGAAACUUUUUCUGUCUUUUCAAUAAACUGACUUUUUU